rnacentral:rRNA from 1 species
AACGAACGCUGGCGGCAGGCUUAACACAUGCAAGUCGAACGCAUCGCAAGAUGAGUGGCAGACGGGUGAGUAACGCGUGGGAACAUACCCUUUUCUACGGAAUAGCUCUGGGAAACUGGAAUUAAUACCGUAUACGCCCUACGGGGGAAAGAUUUAUCGGGGAAGGAUUGGCCCGCGUUGGAUAGCUAGUUGGUGGGGUAAAGGCCUACCAAGGCGACGAUCCAUAGCUGGUCUGAGAGGAUGAUCAGCCACAUUGGGACUGAGACACGGCCCAAACUCCUACGGGAGGCAGCAGUGGGGAAUAUUGGACAAUGGGCGCAAGCCUGAUCCAGCCAUGCCGCGUGAGUGAUGAAGGCCUUAGGGCUGUAAAGCUCUUUCACCGAUGAAGAUAAUGACGGUAGUCGGAGAAGAAGCCCCGGCUAACUUCGUGCCAGCCGCCGCGGUAAUAC